CCUACGGGUGGCAGCAGUGGGGAAUAUUGCGCAAUGGGGGCAACCCUGACGCAGCAACGCCGCGUGAUUGAAGAAGGCCUUCGGGUUGUAAAGAUCUUUAAUCGGGGACGAAUUUUGACGGUACCCGACGAAUAAGCUCCGUCUAACUACGUGCCAGCAGCCGCGGUAAUACGUAGGGAGCAAGCGUUAUCCGGAGUUACUGGGUGUAAAGGGCGUUUAGGCGGGCAUGCAAGCCCGAAGUGAAAUCUUGGGGCUUAACCCCCAUACUGCUUUUGGAACUGCGUGUCUUGAGUGAGGGAGAGGCAGGCGGAAUGCCUAGUGUAGCGGUGAAAUGCGUAGAUAUUGGGAGGAACACCAGUGGCGAAGGCGGCAUGCUGGACAUUAACUGACGCUGAGGCGCGAAAGCGUGGGGAGCAAACAGGAUUAGAUACCCCGGUAGUC
rnacentral:rRNA from 1 species